rnacentral:lncRNA from 1 species
GGGAUUGCAGUGGCAAAGCUAGGCUAGGUCUUGGAGGCUGGUGUAAGGCGAUGUGGGUGAAGGCAGGAGGCUGAUGGAAAGACUGGGGGGAAGAAAAGCCGAAAUGGAUUCACGGUGCCUUGGAUGAAGGACGAGAGGGGAACUGCAAGCUCCUUCAACUGGUUCUGUCCGGUGAGAAGUGAUCAAGCUUGGGCUGACAAGAGGCUCAGGGAGCCCUCACGUUCUUUCGCUUUUUUACCUGCCAAUCAAACUGCUACAAGACAACACCCUGAUCUGGCAUGGACAUCGCGGGUCCAAGCCUGUAGCCCCAAAUCGGAUAAUCUCUGCAGCUGAUAACAAGCAAAAGAGAAGCCAGGCAACAGCCAUAUUAAAGAAGAAAACAAUCAACUCUGAGGCGGAGUCUCGCUCUGUUGCCUAGGCUGGAGUGCAGUGGCACAAUCUUGGCUCACCACAACCUCCACCUCCCAAGUUCAAGGGAUUCUCCUGCCUCAGGCUCCUGAGUAGCUGAGAUGACAAGCUCCCACCACCAUGCUCAGCUAAUUUAUCCAACUUAGAAAUAAUGUUUCAUUCAAGAUAAGGCUCGUGGCUUAGGAGAUUGUGACCUGGCUUGCAUCAUUCUAAGACUUCUAUCGUCUGUUUUCAAAACCCAAGGAGGACCUCCUUUUCUGUGUGAUAGUUCCUCAUGCUUUGCCAGCCACUGGGUCUUUAAGGAAGCUUGCCAAGAGUUCCCGGCUGGGAAGGACAGUUCGAGUUCAUCAUAGACAAUGAGCUGGCACCACAGUUUAAGUGACUCACCAA